rnacentral:rRNA from 1 species
AUUGAACGCUGGCGGCAGGCCUAACACAUGCAAGUCGAGCGAGCGGCGGACGGGUGAGUAAUGUCUGGGAAACUGCCUGAUGGAGGGGGAUAACUACUGGAAACGGUAGCUAAUACCGCAUACCAUCAGAUGUGCCCAGAUGGGAUUAGAUAGUAGGUGGGGUAACGGCUCACCUCGGCGACGCUCCCGAGCUGGUCUGAGAGGGUGACCAACAACACUGGAACUGAGACACGGUCCAGACUCCUACGGGAGGCAGAAGUGGGGAAUAUUGACCAAUGGGCGCAAGCCUGAUGCAGCCAUGCCGCGUGUGUGAAGAAGGCCUUCGGGUUGUAAAGCACGUUCAGCGGGGAGGCGUUACCCGCAGAAGAAGCACCGGCUAACUCCGUGCCAGCAGCCGCGGUAAUUC